UUUACGUACAUCAAUUUUUUGUUGCUCUUUGUAUUGUUUGGCAGUCAUGUACCUGUUGAGCCUAAUAUUAACCCAUUCGUUAUUUACAGGGAACGCCGGCGGGAGCAGGAAAAACAGUUGAGAGCCAGGAUGCAAGAAAAUACGGGAGGUACACCACAAGUGCUUCCCCCCCUCUUCGGAAAUCCAGUUAAGGUUCCUACAAAUAAGAAUGACCCGUUGGUGAAAAGAAUUAACGGCGUACUGGGAGAGUAUAGCAGGGCCAAGCAUUUAUUCGAUGGG